rnacentral:tRNA from 1 species
GCGCCCGUAGCUCAGCUGGAUAGAGCGUCUGCCUCCGGAGCAGAAGGCCACAGGUUCAAAUCCUGUCGGGCGUA